UACGUAGGGUGCAAGCGUUGUCCGGAAUUAUUGGGCGUAAAGAGCUUGUAGGCGGUUUGUCGCGUCUGCUGUGAAAUUUCGAGGCUCAACCCCGAACUUGCAGUGGGUACGGGCAGACUAGAGUGUGGUAGGGGAGACUGGAAUUCCUGGUGUAGCGGUGAAAUGCGCAGAUAUCAGGAGGAACACCGAUGGCGAAGGCAGGUCUCUGGGCCACUACUGACGCUGAGAAGCGAAAGCAUGGGGAGCGAACAGG
rnacentral:rRNA from 1 species